rnacentral:rRNA from 1 species
UACGUAGGGGGCAAGCGUUGUCCGGAAUCAUUGGGCGUAAAGCGCGUGUAGGCGGCCACGUUAGUCCGUUCUGAAAGCCCGGGGCUCAACCCCGGGAGGCGGAUGGAUACUGCGUGGCUCGAGUCCGGAAGAGGCGAGUGGAAUUCCUGGUGUAGCGGUGAAAUGCGCAGAUAUCAGGAGGAACACCAAUGACGAAGGCAGCUCGCUGGGACGUGACUGACGAUGAGACGCGAAAGAGUGGGGAGCAAACAGG